UGGCAGCCGAAGGAAGGAAGAGCAGCUUGCAGAUGCCAGCAUGUUCAGGGUUUGUGGGGAGGUUCACAGACAUCCUCAGGGAGGAUACCAAGUAUUGAAAUGUCCGGAUGAAUAAAAGAGACAGUCAUCUGUGCAGCAUCAAUGCAAAGAAAGACCAUAGAAGAGCAACAAAACUGAAGUCCUGCUUGAGAUCCCUGGAUGAGUACUCCAGGUU
rnacentral:lncRNA from 1 species